UGCCAGCAGCCGCGGUAAUACGGAGGGUGCAAGUGUUGUUCGGAAUUACUGGGUGUAAAGGGUGCGCAGGCGGGACGAUAAGUCAGUGGUGAAAUCCUACAGCUUAACUGUAGAACUGCCAUUGAUACUGUUGUUCUUGAGUACAGUUGAGGUAGGCGGAAUGUGUCAUGUAGCGGUGAAAUGCUUAGAUAUGACACAGAACACCGAUUGCGAAGGCAGCUUACUAAACUGUUACUGACGCUGAGGCACGAAAGCGUGGGGAGCGAACAGGAUUAGAUA
rnacentral:rRNA from 1 species